rnacentral:rRNA from 1 species
CCUACGGGAGGCAGCAGUGAGGAAUAUUGGUCAAUGGGCGCGAGCCUGAACCAGCCAAGUCGCGUGAGGGAAGACGGUUCUAUGGAUUUUAAACCUCUUUUGUCGGGAAGCAAAAGACGCCACGCGUGGCGUUCCCAGCGUAUCCGAAGAAAAAGCAUCGGCUACUUCUGUGCCAGCAGCCGCGGUAAAACGGAGGAUGCGAGCGUGAUCCGGUUUUACUGGGGGUAAAGGGAGCGUAGACGGUGCAGCAAGUCUGAUGUGAAAGGUCAGGGCUCAACCACGGGACUGCAUUGGAAACUGUUUAACUAGAGUACAGGAGAGGUAAGCGGAAUUCCUAGGGUAGCGGUGAAAUGCGUAGAUAUUAGGAGGAACACCAGUGGCGAAGGCGGCUUACUGGACUGUAACUGACGUUGAGGCUCGAAAGCGUGGGGAGCAAACAGGAUUAGAUACCCCUGUAGUC